rnacentral:rRNA from 1 species
GAUGAACGCUGGCGGCGUGCUUAACACAUGCAAGUCGAACGGAAAGGCCCAAGCUUUCUUGGGUACUCGAGUGGCGAACGGGUGAGUAACACGUGGGUGAUCUGCCCUGCACUUCGGGAUAAGCCUGGGAAACUGGGUCUAAUACCGGAUAGGACGAUGGUUUGGAUGCCAUUGUGGAAAGUUUUUUCGGUGUGGGAUGAGCUCGCGGCCUAUCAGCUUGUUGGUGGGGUAAUGGCCUACCAAGGCGUCGACGGGUAGCCGGCCUGAGAGGGUGUACGGCCACAUUGGGACUGAGAUACGGCCCAGACUCCUACGGGAGGCAGCAGUGGGGAAUAUUGCACAAUGGGCGCAAGCCUGAUGCAGCGACGCCGCGUGGGGGAUGACGGCCUUCGGGUUGUAAACUCCUUUCGCUAGGGACGAAGCGUUUUUGUGACGGUACCUGGAGAAGAAGCACCGGCUAACUACGUG